CUCAUUUCUAAUAAUGACAAUCAGUCUGUCUGUCUCCAGGUGUUGUGUUUUACAGAAAUUCAGAGGUUCAAUUUCAGCAUGGCCACCUUUCUUCAAUAAGCUCUGAAACACAAAUAAAUCAUCACAACAAAUGUCAUCAGGGUCAUAGUGAGAAGGAGAGUCCCCUGUAAGGAAGCCAGAAGGAAAACCAUGAAAGGAAGUCUUUCAAUCAACUAGCAACAAGGGAUGACUCAGCAACUGAUCUACCUGCCCGAGAUAUUGGAAACCUGUUUAUUAUUAUUAACAUUCUCACCCAAGGUAGGAAUCGAGUGGUGUUCCUUAAGUAUAUCAGCACACAAACAAGAAAGAAUUUUCAAAGGGGCCCAUUUCUUCUUUGUGCUGCUGACAAUGGCUCUGUUGGAUUUCCUCUUAUUCUGCUGCAUCUUCAGAUUAGCUGCUGGGUUCAUUUCCACCUUGGUAUCUUCCUGGAACUGGUUCAAUUCUGGAAUAUUCUUAGGUUUUUCAGUUUCAACUCUGAUCUCUGCUGCUAUGUCAGGAAGCACAGAGUCCGGUGGCAAAACGAAAGCCAAGUCAGCUUCACAGGUUCUGUCAGAAAUGCCGCACAGGGACUGAGGAUUGCCCGCCAAACAGUCUAAGGCCACGGACAUUUCCAAAGAAUAGCUGCUGGGGUCAGAAAGGCAAAUCUUAGAGACCACAAACAGCAGUGAACGUUUUCUAAUAAUGGAUCCAUUUUAUGUUGGUCUUUAUUGGAAAUUUCCACUUCAUACAAACUGAAGUAAAUAUCUUGAUAACAGACUGGGAAGAAAACAAAGAGCACUUUAUAUUUAAAUAACUGACUUAAAUGAACCUCUGACAUACAAAACAGAAAAAAACGUACUGGCCGCCGCUUCCAGCAGCUCCCAUGGGCCUGCAGCAGCGAACCGCGGCCACUGGGAGCUGCGAUCGGCCGAACCUGCGGACGCGGCAGGUAAACAAACCGGCCCGGCCCGCCCGGGGCUUUCCCUGCACAAGCGGUGGAACAAGUUUGGGAACCACUGAUCUACUGCUGUCACCAGUUUAAGAGGAAGUUCACAGCUGAAACACUGCAGCAGACAAAGCAACUUAAUGUAUUUUCACUGAUUUUGCAGAGCUUUGCGGCGUUGUCCAGAGAUCAUCUCCGAAGGUUCACCAGAGAACAACUGGGCCUUGUGUACGGUCGUGUCUUCGGAUGGAGAAGGGGCUGAUGGUAAGAGGAUGAACUGCAGGCUUUACCCAUGUCUGGUCUCACCGCAUUACACGACUGAUGACAGCAUCUGCCAUGAAUGACUUUUCCCGGCUAACUUCAGAAAUGUAAUUGGGUUAAUCUGCUAAAAAACAUCAUGGGCCCCUUCAUGGCUUGAAGAUUCAAUCUCCUCUUUCUUGCCCUACUUCCAAAUAAAACCCCUCACAAUUAUUGGGACGCUCCCACCAUUCCUCUGCAACAUGAUCUGUCUUUUAAAUAAAAUAAGAGCCAGAGGAAUGCUGAACCUCAGCCCGGGGUGGGCAAAGUUUUUGGCCCGAGUGCCACAUCUGGGUAUGGAAAUUAUAUGGUGGCCCAUGAACG